rnacentral:piRNA from 1 species
UUGUGGACGUUCUGUUACCUGUUGGGUC